UUCAAUCGUUUUCUUCAUUUGUUCUCAUUGGGACAAAAAUUAGCCAAAAAUUAACCAAAAAAAUAAAAAAAAGGGAAAAAGGAAAUCAUACCUGAAAUGGCGAUAGCCAGCUGAGAAGUGAAAAAAUAGCAUUAAAUUGAUGAAGAAUGCAUAUGGACCAAAAAUCGGGAAUGCCAAUAUAAUCGGAAAAUUGAAAGAGGGGAUGAGGCUCAAGAACAAUCCAGAAGCAGUUGUCUGCUAAAGGAAGAACAAAGAGUAUUUGCUGGAAUACCAAAAAUAUCCUUAAUUCAUAUCACUGAAAUUACUAUUAUAUCCUUGGUCGUCCAUCUCUUCAAGUUUGAGUCUAUGUUGCAGUAAUUUUGUACAUAUGCAGGUUCAGUUUGUUUGAUUUAAGGACAAAUAUUCUAUAUCGACGGUCAACUUUCCUUGAUAAAUAAAGACCAACAUUUCUGCUCCAUGGCGUGCUCGGAUUGUAAAAUGCCAUUUUUAAGAACUGCUUCACCAAGGCCAAUCUACUGUAUCCAAUGCGAAAGAUCCACUCAACUUAUUCCCAGAAUCCAAUUUGAAGUUAAGGUCACGGAUCACACUGGUAGCACAGUAGCCUCCAUCUCGGAUCAAUCAGCAACAAAGAUGUUGAACCUCACUGUACAAGAGAUUUAUGACAUCUGCCAUGCACAGAGAAAAACACUACUUCUUGACAAUGCGCAUAAACAAUUAGGAUCAAAGACUUUCAGAAUCCAAAUGAAAAGAUUAUUUUCCAAACAUCAAGACAGGCUAGCUAUCACAAAUUAUGAGGAAAAAGAGCCUACCAACCAACCAUUACCAAUUGCACCAAUGACCAACACUGCUGAAGCAAGCAAGCGCAAGGCUAUGGACAUUGGCUUUGACCGAACACAUCAGCAGAACCUGCCCACCAAAGACAGACCUUCCAGCACUAGACAGAAGACAGAAAGCAAGACUUCUCUCAAAAGGGAGUGAAAGCUACUGGAAAUGUUUUGCCAACAAAUUUUUGGAGCACAUCUUUUUGCCAAUGCACUGUCAAACUACUAUCUUUUUGCCGUAAGACUGCCUUUUUGAAAAGCUACAUCAACCAUAUGUGACGCCCCAUACUUUAAAAAGGUAUUUUGUCAACCAUGACGUCCACAACUACAACAUGCAUGAUUGCUACUAAAAAAUACUUUUUCUGUAAAUAUGUGCUAUAAAUGAUGUACAUAUGACAGUGCAACUUAUUGUAGUUGUCUUAUACUAUCUUACCGUAUUACUUACGAUAAUCUUCUUAUUGUUGGAUGUUUUAAAUCAUCACUCUUAAUUAAUGUCAAAAUUUCCAUGUUUCUUAAAUAUCUUCAAGAAAGUAAGUAAUCUUAAUUUA